rnacentral:rRNA from 1 species
GUGGGGAAUAUUGCACAAUGGGCGAAAGCCUGAUGCAGCGACGCCGCGUGAGCGAAGAAGUAUUUCGGUAUGUAAAGCUCUAUCAGCAGGGAAGAUAAUGACGGUACCUGACUAAGAAGCACCGGCUAAAUACGUGCCAGCAGCCGCGGUAAUACGUAUGGUGCAAGCGUUAUCCGGAUUUACUGGGUGUAAAGGGAGCGCAGGCGGUGCGGCAAGUCUGAUGUGAAAGCCCGGGGCUCAACCCCGGUACUGCAUUGGAAACUGUCGUACUAGAGUGUCGGAGGGGUAAGCGGAAUUCCUAGUGUAGCGGUGAAAUGCGUAGAUAUUAGGAGGAACACCAGUGGCGAAGGCGGCUUACUGGACGAUAACUGACGCUGAGGCUCGAAAGCGUGGGGAGCAAACAGGAUUAGAAACCCUAGUAGUCC